rnacentral:tRNA from 1 species
CGGGAAGUAGCUCAGCUUGGUAGAGCACUUGGUUUGGGGACCAAGGGGUCGCAGGUUCGAAUCCUGUCUUCCCGACCA